rnacentral:rRNA from 1 species
GCUCAGGAUGAACGCUAGCGGCAGGCCUAAUACAUGCAAGUCGAACGAUAGAUAGAAGCUUGCUUUUAUCGAAAGUGGCGCACGGGUGCGUAACGCGUAUGCAACCUACCUUAAUCUGGGGGAUAGCCCGGAGAAAUCCGGAUUAACACCGCAUAAAAACACAGGAUAGCAUUAUCCAAUGUUCAAAUAUUUAUAGGAUUGAGAUGGGCAUGCGUGUCAUUAGCUAGUUGGCGGGGUAACGGCCCACCAAGGCGACGAUGACUAGGGGAUCUGAGAGGAUGGCCCCCCACACUGGUACUGAGACACGGACCAGACUCCUACGGGAGGCAGCAGUAAGGAAUAUUGGUCAAUGGAGGCAACUCUGAACCAGCCAUGCCGCGUGCAGGAAGACUGCCCUAUGGGUUGUAAACUGCUUUUAUCCGGGAAUAAACCUACUUACGUGUAAGUAGCUGAAUGUACCGGAAGAAUAAGGAUCGGCUAACUCCGUGCCAGCAGCCGCGGUAAUACGGAGGAUCCAAGCGUUAUCCGGAUUUAUUGGGUUUAAAGGGUGCGUAGGCGGCCUGUUAAGUCAGGGGUGAAAGACGGUAGCUCAACUAUCGCAGUGCCCUUGAUACUGAUGGGCUUGAAUGGACUAGAGGUAGGCGGAAUGAGACAAGUAGCGGUGAAAUGCAUAGAUAUGUCUCAGAACACCGAUUGCGAAGGCAGCUUACUAUGGUCUUAUUGACGUUGAGGCACGAAAGCGUGGGGAUCAAACAGGAUUAGAUACCCUGGUAGUCCACGC